UACGUAGGGAGCAAGCGUUGUCCGGAUUUAUUGGGCGUAAAGAGCUCGUAGGCGGCUUAGCAAGUCAGGUGUGAAAACUCUGGGCUUAACCCAGAGACGCCACUUGAUACUUCUAUGGCUUGAGUUCGGUAGGGGACCAUGGAAUUCCUGGUGUAGCGGUGAAAUGCGCAGAUAUCAGGAGGAACACCGAUGGCGAAGGCAGUGGUCUGGGCCGAUACUGACGCUGAGGUGCGAAAGCGUGGGGAGCAAACAGG
rnacentral:rRNA from 1 species